UACGUAGGCAGCAAGCGUUGUUCGGAGUUACUGGGCGUAAAGGGUGUGUAGGCGGUUUUUUAAGUUUGGUGUGAAAUCUCCCGGCUCAACUGGGAGGGUGCGCCGAAUACUGAAAGACUAGAGUGCGGGAGAGGAAAGUGGAAUUCCUGGUGUAGCGGUGAAAUGCGUAGAUAUCAGGAGGAACACCGGUGGUGUAGACGGCUUUCUGGACCGUAACUGACGCUGAGACGCGAAAGCGUGGGGAGCGAACCGG
rnacentral:rRNA from 1 species